rnacentral:rRNA from 1 species
CUGGCGGCGUGCCUAACACAUGCAAGUCGAACGAGAAAGUGGAGCAAUCCAUGAGUACAGUGGCGUACGGGUGAGUAACACGUGACUAACCUACCCUCGAGUGGGGAAUAACUUCGGGAAACCGAGGCUAAUACCGCAUAACAUCUACGGAUCAAAUGCGCAAGCAGCUUGAGGAGGGGGUCGCGGCUGAUUAGCUAGUUGGCGGGGUAACGGCCCACCAAGGCAAUGAUCAGUAGCCGGCCUGAGAGGGCGCACGGCCACACUGGAACUGAAACACGGUCCAGACUCCUACGGGAGGCAGCAGUGGGGAAUUUUGCGCAAUGGGGGAAACCCUGACGCAGCAACGCCGCGUGGAGGAUGGAGCCCCUUGGGGUGUAAACUCCUUUCGAUCGGGACGAUUAUGACGGUACCGGAUGAAGAAGCACCGGCUAACUCUGUGCCAGCAGCCGCGGUAAUACAGAGGGUGCAAGCGUUGUUCGGAAUUAUUGGGCGUAAAGGGUGCGUANGCGGUGCGGUAAGUCUUCUGUGAAACCUCCGGGCUUAACUCGGAGCCUGCAGGGGAAACUGCCGUGCUG